rnacentral:lncRNA from 1 species
UCUAAAGGAAGGCUCCUCACAGAAGGUGAAGACAGCCCCACAGUUCAAGACAGUGAGUGGAGGGAGAUGCGUGGUAUGUGAAGGGUUGAAAACAAAAAGCAGUGCUCAUCCUAGGGAUGUGAUACGUGGGGAGGACUGAGGUUUCAUAAGGGCCCAACUACCAACCAAUUUUGAAACAUGUCAGUAGGAUGAUGGCCCAGCGGACUGGAGCCAUAAGCUACCACUUCUGGGAAGGCAAGAG